rnacentral:rRNA from 1 species
GAUGAACGCUGGCGGCGUGCCUAAUACAUGCAAGUCGAGCGAACAGACGAGGAGCUUGCUCCUCUGACGUUAGCGGCGUACGGGUGAGUAACACGUGGAUAACCUACCUAUAAGACUGGGAUAACUUCGGGAAACCGGAGCUAAUACCGGAUAAUAUAUUGAACCGCAUGGUUCAAUAGUGAAAGACGGUUUUGCUGUCACUUAUAGAUGGAUCCGCGCCGCAUUAGCUAGUUGGUAAGGUAACGGCUUACCAAGGCGACGAUGCGUAGCCGACCUGAGAGGGUGAUCGGCCACACUGGAACUGAGACACGGUCCAGACUCCUACGGGAGGCAGCAGUAGGGAAUCUUCCGCAAUGGGCGAAAGCCUGACGGAGCAACGCCGCGUGAGUGAUGAAGGUCUUCGGAUCGUAAAACUCUGUUAUUAGGGAAGAACAAAUGUGUAAGUAACUAUGCACGUCUUGACGGUACCUAAUCAGAAAGCCACGGCUAACUACGUG